rnacentral:tRNA from 1 species
UCCCUGGUGGUCCAGUGGCUAAGACUCUGUCCUUGCAAUGCAGGGGUGUAGGUUCAAUUCCUGGUUGGGGAA